rnacentral:lncRNA from 1 species
GGCUCAUGCUUAUUAGACACACACGAGGUCUCAACUGUGGCAGCUUGGAAAUAGCUUAUGAACUCAAGGUGACAGUUUUCUUUGGUCUUGAACUGGGCCUUCUUGUACAGUGCCUAGGAGUGACUUCUGCAUAGCAUCCGGGGCCUGUGUGGGAUUUUGAUUGACAUGUGCAGCUGCCUCAUCCACCUUCAGUCAUAGCACCAUUGGACACAUUGGGUUCCAGACUAUCCUGCAAGGAUCAUGCCCUCCUGGGAAGCAGGUGGCUGUUGAGCUUGGUGAUCUUUCCCAAGGAUGGGGCAGAGGGGUUUCACCCUGGAGCACCAGGAGUACCAGCUGUGAUGAGCUGUGCUGUGCCAGGUCUGUCUCCAUUUGGCAUUUGAUGGGAACCACGGGCUUUGGAACAUUCUGCUUCUACCUGGACUCAGUUGUGUGUUGGCUCCAGAACUUAAUCUUCUUCCCAACUUGACCGUGAACUUCCCAAGGGCAGGUGAGAGCUUGUGUGACACUCAUCACCAGCAGUCAGCACUGGGGAGGAGUUAGGACCAGUCAGCUCUUCUGAACCUAGUUCUGGCCUUGGUGUCACUCGUGACAGUGCCCCUCCCACACUCAUCCAUGUGAGCAGCUUGCACCAUUCUCUUCCUCCCUCUCCUUCCUUUGUCAGGAUACGCUUACCCAUCCCUUGGGAAGACUGAGGACAUCUCUGGGGCCCAUCUCCAUCUCCCUGAUGUGUUAUGAAUUAUCUUCAGGACUCUAUGGCAACAACAAAACAGCUGUGCUUGGAAGGUGGCUGAGCUGCAUACCUCCGAGCAACGGGCCCCUUCGAUAUGUGCUUUGCAGUCAUCUCCAGCCCUGGCAGUGGGAUGAUGUAUUAUUCAGGCCAGAAUCACCCAAGGGGCAUACUCUCUGGUUCUAACUCACUCUAAUUCUGGGAUGCAGCUCCAGCCUGGGCCCUGCUGCAGCAUUGGUAAUCACUUGGAGUUACAGAUUUGGCUCCAGCAAAUUUGGUUAAGACUUGUCCAAGGUGACUGUAUUGUAUCUGUAAACUAGAGGACUUCAAGUCUGUGUGCCCAGGAACAUGGCAUGCUUAGAUGGUUCUAGGAAAUAAGCCAGUCAUGUAUAUACUCCACAGAGGCUUAAGCCCUUGUAAAAGUAGGGGAAUACAGACCUUGGGUUAAGAUGGUGGACUGCUCACAAGCAUCUCCAUUUGUCCUUCAGCUUGGAUCAGGAACACCCUUAGGGGCCACGUGUUAAAGCCUUGAGCUCUAGAUAGGCAUUACCAGGAGGAAGCAGAAGCUUGAAGAAGUGAAGCCUGCUCACUCUGUAAAGUAUUACUUGUAUGAAUGUUUCCACUGCUGACCAUUUGGUAUUAGAUAACCAAUUGGUGUGCUCUUCCCUGGAGGAGACAUUUUUCCACCAAGCAUUCCUUGGUUCUCUGCAUGUUAUACUACAUGCAUAUUUAUGUAAUUAUAAAUUAUAUUAUAAAUAUAAAAUCAAUCAAUGAAAAAGGGGGAUAUAUGAGAAUGUUUGGAGGGUAGAAAGGGAAGGAAGAAAUGGUAUAAUGAUAUUAAUGUUUCAGAAAAUAAAAAGAAAGACUUUUUAAAACUCUCGCUGGGCAGUGGUGUCGCACACCUUUAAUCCCAGCACUCGGGAGGCAGAAGCAAAUGGAUCUCUGUGAG